AGAACGAACGCUAGUGGUACCCCUUACACAUGCAAGUCGAACGAAGUGAUAGUAGCAAUACUAUCAAUUAAUUUAGUGGCGCACGGGUGAGUAAUAUAUAGGAACGUGCCCCUUGGAUCAUGAAAAUCAUGGAUAUCUCGAGCAAUCGAGAAAGGAUUGAAAGAUUCGCCAAGGGAUCGGCUUAUAUCGCAAUUUGUCUAGUUGGUGAGGUAAUAGCUGCACCAAGCUUAUAUUGCGUAACUGGUCUGAGAGGAUGGCCAGUCACAUUGGGACUGAGACAAGGCCCAGCUUUGCAGCAGUGGGGAAUUUUCGAAAUGAUGGGGGCAACCCUGAUCGAGGGAUAUCAUGUGGGUGAUGAAGAUACAUAUUGUAAAGUCCUUUUGCCUACGGAACUGUAGGAGAAUAAGCACCGGCUAACUCUGUGCCAGCAGCCGC
rnacentral:rRNA from 1 species